rnacentral:rRNA from 1 species
GACGAACGCUGGCGGCGUGCCUAAUACAUGCAAGUUGAGCGCUGAAGGUUGGUACUUGUACCAACUGGAUGAGCAGCGAACGGGUGAGUAACGCGUGGGGAAUCUGCCUUUGAGCGGGGGACAACAUUUGGAAACGAAUGCUAAUACCGCAUAAAAACUUUAAACACAAGUUUUAAGUUUGAAAGAUGCAAUUGCAUCACUCAAAGAUGAUCCCGCGUUGUAUUAGCUAGUUGGUGAGGUAAAGGCUCACCAAGGCGAUGAUACAUAGCCGACCUGAGAGGGUGAUCGGCCACAUUGGGACUGAGACACGGCCCAAACUCCUACGGGAGGCAGCAGUAGGGAAUCUUCGGCAAUGGACGAAAGUCUGACCGAGCAACGCCGCGUGAGUGAAGAAGGUUUUCGGAUCGUAAAACUCUGUUGGUAGAGAAGAACGUUGAUGAGAGUGGAAAGCUCAUCAAGUGACGGUAACUACCCAGAAAGGGACGGCUAACUACGUG